GGAUGUGAGGGCGAUCUGGAUGCGAUAUCUGUCACCCCAUUGAUCGCCAGGGUUGAUUCGGCUGAUCUGGCUGGCUAGGCGGGUGUCCCCUUCCUCCCUCACCACUCCAUGUGCGUCCCUCCCGAAGCUGCACGCUCAGUCGAAGAGGACGGCCUUCCGGGAAUAGAGAUUGACCAGUCUUCAGUUGAGGGUAUAUGAGUAGCUGCACUCCCCUGCUAGAACCUCCAAACAAGCUCUCUAUCAUCCUCUCCUCGUGAUUUCUCUCUGCCCUAUCCAAUAAAAAUGGCCUUCAAGAAGCAGUGGAUUCAUAGUGCAGGCUCUGAACUCUGAGCCCCAGCAAU
ensembl:misc_RNA 7SK 7SK RNA